AUCCAGUGAAGAGUCCCAGAUAGGACGAAAUGCGCUUUAUCCUGGAU
rnacentral:hammerhead_ribozyme from 1 species